rnacentral:ncRNA from 1 species
GUACGUCUUCAGGGCGGGGUGUAAUUCCCCACCGGCGGUAUGUGGCGAGGCUUCGAGGCCGGACCACGAGCCCGCGAGCGCCCGCGCGAUCAAUUCAUGCGCGGGGUCAGCAGAUCUGGUGCGAAGCCAGAGCCGACGGUCACAGUCCGGAUGAGAGAAGAUGUGC